rnacentral:rRNA from 1 species
UACGUAGGGGGCAAGCGUUGUCCGGAUUUAUUGGGCGUAAAGAGCGUGUAGGCGGCCAUACAGGUCAGCUGUGAAAACUCGAGGCUCAACCUCGAGACGUCGGUUGAAACCGUAUGGCUAGAGUCCGGAAGAGGAGAGUGGAAUUCCCGGUGUAGCGGUGAAAUGCGCAGAUAUCAGGAGGAACACCGGUGGCGAAGGCGGGUUUCUGGGCCGAUAUUGACGCUGAGGAGCGAAAGCGUGGGGAGCAAACAGG